rnacentral:ncRNA from 2 species
AUCACCGGCUCCGUAACGGGUGCCCGAAAGGGCUUAAUCGGGAAGUCCGGCCGGCGGAAAUCCGCCGAAUCCGGCACUGCUCCCGCAACUGUGACCGGUGAGCGCAUCGCCAUAACGCCAUUGGGGUUCCGGCCCUGAGAAGGCGGCGACAGGCGCGAUGAUCCGGGAAGUCAGGAAACCGGCCCGCUAUCGUCGUUCCUU